AACGAACGCUGGCGGCAUGCCUAACACAUGCAAGUCGAACGAAGGCUUCGGCCUUAGUGGCGCACGGGUGAGUAACGCGUGGGAAACUGCCUAUUGGUGGGGAAUAACGACGGGAAACUGUCGCUAAUACCGCAUAAGCCCUUCGGUGGAAAGAUUUAUCGCCGAUAGAUGUGCCCGCGUCCGAUUAGCUAGUUGGUGAGGUAAUGGCUCACCAAGGCGACGAUCGGUAGCUGGUCUGAAAGGCUGAUCAGCCACACUGGGACUGAGACACGGCCCGGACUCAUACGGGAGGUAGAAGUGGAGAAUAUUGUACAAUGGGCGGAAGCCAGAUGCAGCGAUGGCGCGUACGUGAUGAAGGCCGUAGGGUUGUAAAGCUCUUUCAGGUGGGACGUUGAUGACGGUACCACCAGAAGAAGCCCCGGCUAACUUCGUGCCAGCAGCCGCCGUAA
rnacentral:rRNA from 1 species